rnacentral:rRNA from 1 species
UACGUAGGGGGCUAGCGUUGUCCGGAUUUAUUGGGCGUAAAGAGCUCGUAGGUGGUUCGGUAAGUCAGGUGUGAAACCUCCAGGCUCAACCUGGAGACGCCACUUGAUACUGCUGUGACUGGAGUCCGGUAGGGGAGCGUGGAAUUCCUGGUGUAGCGGUGAAAUGCGCAGAUAUCAGGAGGAACACCAAUGGCGAAGGCAGCUCGCUGGGACGGUACUGACGCUGAGGCGCGAAAGCGUGGGGAGCAAACAGG